rnacentral:rRNA from 1 species
GUGUACAGCCAUGCCACAGUGAAUGUGCCCGAUCUCGUCGGACCUCGGAAGCUAAGCAGGGUCAGGCCUGGUUAGUACUUAGAUGGGAGACCACCCUGGAAAACCAGGAGCUGUAGGAG